rnacentral:misc_RNA from 1 species
GAUGCAGAUGCGUGCGCGGCGGCCACAGUGAGGCGCUCAAGAUGGCCGUCACGUACAUCUGAUCGGAGGUGUGUGUGCCGAAAUUCGACGCCGAUUUGACGUGACGAGGGUGGGCGAUGCAACUCGCGUCGCUGGCAUGGUGAUCGCGAGGAGAUAACUGGACGUCAUCCCGGUUCCUCGACGCGAACCGUCUCGGGCGUCGUCGUCGAUGGUUGCUGUUCCCAUCUCCGCGGCCGCCGGCGGCACGAAUCAUGUUCAGCAAGAAGCUCCAUGUAGACGUCAAGAAGUCGACGCUCAAGAUCCAGGAUGUUAAGAAGGACAGCGCGACGCGGUUCAAGCAUCUCAAGAUCGUGCUAGAAAACGUGGACACUGAUGAGGCAAAAGGCUUUUUCGAGGGUAACUUCAGCCAUGUGUACUUCAUCCUGUACGAUUGUUUCGUGUCCGCUGAAGCAAAUCUUCGGCAGCGCGAGCUUUCCUUCCAUAUUGUGCAUAAAGCACACAGGGAGGAGUUAGAACAAGUAUUGCAGCUUUUGGAGAAAAUUUUAACUCUUCUUCCUGAGCUGCUUAACAAACGAUGGCAGUGUCACAGUUUAGCACGCAUCUUGCAGAAACUUUUGCAUCCUGGUAAUAGUUGGAAACUUCGUAGACAAGCUAUAAGGUAUUUUAUUUUAUGGUAUCAAGCCCUUGGCGAAAAUGCUCCCGAACACAUACAUCAGAUGUUUGCCAGCUUGGUUCCAGGAUUUCCACCGCAUCAAGCGUCGCCUUAUAAAUGUGAUCGUAAGUUGGAUAACAAAAAAGAAAAACUAACAAAAGCAGCUAAUUCCGAGGAAAAGGACAAGAAGGAAUUUUAUGACACGCAACUUGGGCAAAGUACUUUUCAUGACAAUGGAUCAAAUCAAUGUCCUAUCAGUCAAGUUGACAGUGGACCUAUCUUACCACCGCAAAGUGGAGAAAAGCCACUUGACAACGAAACUGUUAGAUUUUUGGAAGCAUUGCUUGAAUUUAUGGUUACUCAGGUGGUAAAAGUAGAAUGGCGAGAUAAAUCUACACGGCAGCAUAAAACUUUCCAAUUUUUAUUAGAACGUUUUAAGGUAGCAUAUCUACGUCACAUCUGUCCGGAAUUUAAUGACAAUUUUUCGCUUUACAAACCUAACUUGGAAUUACCCACAAUGCGUAAACCAUUGAAUCAAAAUCAGAAUAAUUAUGUACUUUGUAAAGUCGCUUUAAUCAAAUGGGUCGCCAGUUUCACGCAUGUUGCUAGAAAAGAUGGACUUUUCGCACAUCUUUCGCAAAACACAACACCAAAUGAGGAAAACGCCGAAUCGGAAUUACGCCGUGUGUCGAUGUACACUCAAAAUUCUGUAGAUUCGAAUUUGUUGUCACCUGAAUCAACCGUGUCGCAGCAGGAUGGCCAAAAUCAGGAAGACAGUGCCGUUUCAGCUAUGUUAGUCAGAGAGGUUUUAUAUGGAAACAGAGAUAAUGUAAACUUCGUACACGAAUUGUAUAGACAAGCAUUUCUUUUGGAUUUCCAUCAUGCAGGAGCCAUAAGAAAAGCUAUUGCCGUUUAUAAAGAUUGGAUUCAAAUGAAUGAAAUACCUCCAUUUAUGUUGGAACCAUUGGAGGGCCAUAAAGAUCGGGAUUUCGAGGAGAGUCAAAGAAGAGAAAGUGAAAUGGAGAAAAGUCCGUCCGAUAGUUAUCGGCAAACGAGAUUAAGAAAUGAUUCUUAUCUUGGUGCAAUACACCGCGAAAACUUGUUUAUUAGGGCAGGCCUGCAAAAUGUUCUGCAAAUUUUUAUCACACAAGCAUCAAACGUAUUUUUCUUAGAGAAUUCGGGACCGAAUGCGUCUUUAACGUUACUCGAGGAACAAACGGACAGUUGCAAGAGAGUCCUAAAUGUGUAUCGAUACGUUGUUAUGCACUCCAGACUGGAACCUGCGACUUGGGAACAGUUACUUAGAGUGUUACUGCAAAUUACAUCGCUUGUACUAAGCGAGAAGUCUUCUCGCCGCAAGCAUCAGGAAAGCAUCGGUGGGAAACUUGCGCCUGCCAUAUUCCAGACUCUAAUUGUUACAUGGAUUAAGGCUAACUUAAACGUGGUUAUUUCUACCCAGUUAUGGGACCAGUUUCUAGAGGUGUUAACAUCGUUGACACAAUGGGAGGAAUUAAUUCGAGAGUGGGCGAAAACUCUGGACACGCUAACGAGAGUGUUGGCGAGACACGUGUACAAUUUGGAUUUGAAUGAUCUACCUUUGGAUCGACUCAGCGAACAGAAAUCAAAAAAGAGACGUGGAGUCGGAAGCCGCGCGGCAUCGACCGGAAGCGUACAACCGCCUCGAAAAGGCAGCGUUGAUCAAGAGAACAAUACCGUGCCGAAAGAAAGCGUCGUAGAUCACCCACUGCGCGAUAUAAGAAAGGUGCGACCAUUGCCACGUAGUGCGAGCGAUAACACUAUAUACAACGUCAAGACUCGUGCGAAGUUGCAUAGACAGCGGACGCACACGAUACACAGCGGUAUUCCCGUACUCCCCCUAUCGAUAGAACAAGAUAUGGCGCGGUUACUGUCGACUCGACGCGGCUCGACUUCGUCAUCAGCGACUGGUCGGAAAAUACUGUCCAGCAGACGUGCCAAAUCUCUGGAUAGCAUUGUUAUAGUUGAUAGCGAACCGCCGUCGCCACGCUGCCCGUCGCCGACACCCAGCAGUGGUGUUGACAGCAACAAAGAUAGUCCCAUACAGAUAGAAAAUAUUGAUGGUAGCAGUAUCGAUACAAAUGACGCAUCUGAGAGGAGAUCAGUAAUGGCAGGUGGAGGAGUCCGUGGAUGGUUGCCAGAUGUAGCUGUCGUUUUAUGGCGACGUAUGCUCUCGGCAUUAGGAGAUGUUAAUAAUAUUCAAGAUCCUGUUCUGCAUGGCCAAGUCAUGGAUUAUCUUGUACAACUCACACAAACAUUGAUUAAAAUACGUUUAAAUCAAGGAGUUUCCGGAGAUAAUCAAGCGACACCUCCAGCACCAGAGCUAAUUCCACCUCUAACAGUCAUUGCACCUUGGUGUUUCAAGGCAAUUCAACUUCCCGAUCAAUAUGAAAGUGGUAAAUUAGCUGCGUAUCGUCUUAUAUGUCUCUUAACAGUGCAACCAUUGGACAUCAGUCUGCCAAAACAGCAUCUCACACUCUUCUAUCGCGCUGUUCAUAAUGGAAUUGCUAGUAACGACAGUAAAGUACUGCAUGUACUUGUGAAAUAUACAGGACCGAGAUUAUUUAGUCUGAAUCUACCUGGGUCGAGUCUUUUAAUUUUGGAUUACAUACACGCUGCUAAUGUGAUACUUAGCAGUCAAGAUGUCGAGGCACCACGAACAGAAGCUGUUUCUAUUAUCGGCUCAUUGUUAUCCUUACCUGUUGCAAUGAUCAAACUACCCGUGUUACAACCAAAUGGACCUGAUAUUGUAACUAUGACAUGUCCAGAAGCAAAAGAGCAUAUUGUAACAAUACUUUUGCGAAGCUGUCGACGAGAACCCACUGGUAUUGCGAGAUGUCUGGCCCUAUCAAGUAUCGCGAUGUUUGUAUAUAAAGAACUAUCUUACAAAACGCAACAUCCGAGAAUUCCGGAAGCUGUCACAGUUCUUCUCCUUGCACUUAGACGGAUGCAAGGAGCAGAGCGUCGCAGAGCUGGUUUCUGUUUUCCUCUAAUGGAUCAGGCUUCUCACGCCACUGUUGCACAGGUCGCGUGUGAUUCUUUGUUACUUCUCUGCGAUAAAGCUGAUGUGUUGCUAGAGUUGUAUCCUAAUGUGCCAUCUAAGAUAAUACAGAUCUUAUCGGAUACACUUGGGCGAAUGACAACGCGUGAAAGACGCGGACCUUUAACAGUAUCAAUGUUAUUUUGCUUGGGUGAAUGGGCUAUGCACUUAGGACCAACAGUAUUACUACAGGUGUUUCAAGGAAAACCUCUUUUGAUGACCUUAUUUACAGUGUUAAACAACAUAGUGCAAAAUAAAGUUGGAAAGGAAUUUUCGAAAACUAUUAGGAAUAAUCAAGAUGACGAUGAUGAUUUUGAUCCUAAUAUUACGUUGGAUAAUUUAAUUGAUGAGUCCUCCGCCAAAUCGCCUCGCAAAGGAAAUAUUCAGUCUGUACAGUUGGCAGCAAAAAUGGUACUGAUGCAUUUAAUCAAUCACCUGGGACACUUUCCAAUGGGUAUCGGAGCCGCGCGUCUCUCAUCGCUAGUCGUUGAAUUGGACGACGUUCCUGGAAUUGAUGGGGACGAAUUGUCCUCUGCCGUUUUUCAAGCACCCAACAUACAACUUUUGAUGCUUUCUAAUUCGAUCAUAAUGUCAUUGGUAGAAUUGGCAGCGUUGGACGCACCCGGCGGAGGCGUCACAGCUGGUUUGACUACAGCUCCUUCUCUGGUCAGAGUUCUGUUGCGUGAUCUCGCUGGAAAAGCUUCUUGGGACAGUUCAAUCUUGUAUAGCCAGCCAUUUGUUGAUGAUGAUCUGCCAUUGCCGUUUGCUAAACCUAUUGAUUGGAGUGUGAAAUCACAUACAGACGAUUUAAAUAGCGUUAUCACAUCCCAUAACUGUACACCCAGACACACAAUACGGCAUCGCGAGCCGCACAUAUUGCCGACCUUUGCGAACGCUGCGAGCGAUAUGGACAAUUUGGACGAUCUUCUUCAAUAUAUAGGACAUACCAGUCCGGAAGUCUUAACCAAUCCCGAAGUCGCUCUCAAUGCACCUGCUAAUCCACCUCAAGGACAUUAUCUUGAAGGCGAGACUAUUGCGACAAUUUUGAAUCAAAGAAAUACAGAGCAAGAACACAUAAACAAUUGGAAUCAACACAUCAGUAUGAGCGCAACGGCAAUCAGUCCACCGUCGUGUCGCCCACCCCCAGCGCCAUUUCAUCACUGCCGUCUUCUGUUUUCGCAUCUCGGUUUGUCCGGCUGGGAACUGCGUAAGAAAUUGCAUUUGCUGGCGAAAAACGAAAAGCUCCUACGCGAGCUUCGUAAUCUCGACGGCCAACGGUCUCGGGAGACACACAAGAUAGCGGUGAUUUACGUCAGCCAGGGCCAGGAAGACAAGAACUCCAUACUAAGCAACGUCACUGCCAGUAAGGAGUACGAGAGCUUCAUCGCAAGACUUGCUUGGGAAGUCGAAUUGGAAUCGCACACUGGUUUUCUAGGCGGCUUGGUGCCUGGAAAGGCAUCCGGUGUCACCGCACCAUACUACGCUACGUCUUUCACUGAAGUUCUCUUCCACGUUGCCACGAGAAUGCCGUCGGAUAGCCCCGAGAGUUUGUUGCAAAAGACACGGCAUCUUGGCAAUGAUGAAAUCCACAUAGUUUGGUCGGAGCACUGGCGAGAUUAUCGUAGGGAUAUCAUACCCACAGAAUUCUGCGAUGUCCUUAUAGUCAUUUAUCCGCUAAAAAACAAGCUGUAUCGAAUACAGAUUUCGCGUAAAUCGGAAAUUCCAUUUUUCGGCCCUUUAUUCGACGAGUGUAUCGUGGAGGAUAAGGUAUUACCAGGUUUGGUAAGGACGACCGCAUUAGCCGCGAGCAGAGCAAAGAGAUCUACGCUUACAUUAUACCAACAUUAUUACGAGGAAAGGGCGCGAUCCAUCGAUACUGUUAUGAGAAAUCACAAAGAAGCUACGACAUUUGAGGAGUUUACGGCCAAUGUUUAUUCACCAGUGCAACCGCCAAGCCCGUUUAGCGCAGCUUCGUCUGUUUCUGGAUCUACAACAAGCGUGCAAUCCACAGCAUCGUCAAAUCUCGCCGCAGCCCUUAUUGAUUCGCACCAGGGACGCUCCGGUUUACGCAGCAGUUCGACAGCGAGCAGUGACAACCGUGCGAAUAGAGGUGACUAAUUCAGUCCACUAACCCCCACCCACCUUGUAAAACCACCGGACAAGUCUUGCAAAAUAUAUUCAGAGUUUCUGAUGGAAGCAGAGUAUGGUUUAGCAAUGAUAUCCCUGAGAGUACUGCGCUCCACGGAAUUUCACCAA